rnacentral:rRNA from 1 species
AGAGUUUGAUCCUGGCUCAGGAUGAACGCUGGCGGCGUGCUUAACACAUGCAAGUCGAACGAAGCGCCUUGAAUUGAUUUCUUCGGAUUGAUUUUCUUGGCGACUGAGUGGCGGACGGGUGAGUAACGCGUGGGUAACCUGCCUCAUACAGGGGGAUAACAGUUAGAAAUGACUGCUAAUACCGCAUAAGCGCACGAUACCGCAUGGUAUUGUGUGAAAAACUCCGGUGGUAUGAGAUGGACCCGCGUCUGAUUAGCUUGUUGGCGGGGUAACGGCCCACCAAGGCGACGAUCAGUAGCCGACCUGAGAGGGUGAUCGGCCACAUUGGGACUGAGACACGGCCCAAACUCCUACGGGAGGCAGCAGUGGGGAAUAUUGCACAAUGGGGGAAACCCUGAUGCAGCGACGCCGCGUGAAGGAUGACGUAUUUCGGUAUGUAAACUUCUAUCAGCAAGGAAGAUGAUGACGGUACUUGACUAAGAAGCCCCGGCUAACUACGUGCCAGCAGCCGCGGUAAUACGUAGGGGGCAAGCGUUAUCCGGAUUUACUGGGUGUAAAGGGAGCGUAGGCGGCCAUGCAAGUCAGAAGUGAAAGCCCGGGGCUCAACCCCGGGACUGCUUUUGAAACUGUAAGGCUAGAUUGCCGGAGAGGUAAGCGGAAUUCCUAGUGUAGCGGUGAAAUGCGUAGAUAUCACGAAGAACUCCGAUUGCGAAGGCAGCCUGCUGGACUGUCACUGACGCUGAUGCUCGAAAGUGUGGGUAUCAAACAGGAUUAGAUACCCUGGUAGUCCACACAGUAAACGAUGAAUACUCGCUGUUGGCGAUACACAGUCAGCGGCCAAGCGAAAGCGUUAAGUAUUCCACCUGGGGAGUACGCCGGCAACGGUGAAACUCAAAGGAAUUGACGGGGGCCCGCACAAGCGGAGGAACAUGUGGUUUAAUUCGAUGAUACGCGAGGAACCUUACCCGGGCUUGA